UACGUAGGCAGCAAACGUUGUUCGGAAUUACUGGGCGUAAAGAGUGUGUAGGCGGUUUUGUAAGUUUGGUGUGAAAUCUCCCGGCUUAACUGGGAGGGUGCGCCGAAAACUGCAAGGCUUGAGUGCUGGAGAGGAGAGCGGAAUUCCUGGUGUAGCGGUGAAAUGCGUAGAUAUCAGGAGGAACACCGGUGGCGAAGGCGGGUCUCUGGGCCGAUACUGACGCUGAGGAGCGAAAGCGUGGGGAGCGAACAGG
rnacentral:rRNA from 1 species